GACGAACGCUGGCGGCGUGCCUAAUACAUGUAAGUAGGACGCAGUUGCGAACGGGUGAGUAACGCGUAGGUAACUACCUAUUAGAGGGGGAUAACUAUUGGAAACGAUAGCUAAUACCGCAUACUAGUAGAUGGACCUGCGUUGUAUUAGCUAGUAGGUAGGGUAAUGGCCUACCUAGGCAACGAUACAUAGCCGACCUGGGGGGGUGAACGACCAAACUGGGACUGGGAAACGGCCCAGAACCCUACGGGAUGCAGGAGGAGGGAAUCUUCGGCCAUUGGGGGAACCCUGACCGAGCAACGCCGCGUGAUUGAAGAAGGUUUUCGGAUCGUAAAGCUCUGUUGUUAAGGAAGCGGUACUUAACCAGAAAGGGACGGCUAACUACGUGCCAGCAGCCGCGGUAAUUC
rnacentral:rRNA from 1 species